GUGAGGAAUUUUCCGCAAUGGGCGAAAGCCUGACGGAGCAAUGCCGCGUGAAGGAUGAAGGCCUAUGGGUUGUAAACUUCUUUUCUCAGAAAAGAAUUAUGACGGUAUCUGAGGAAUAAGCAUCGGCUAACUCUGUGCCAGCAGCAGCGGUAAGACAGAGGAUGCAAGCGUUAUCCGGAAUGAUUGGGCGUAAAGCGUCUGUAGGUUGUUUAAAAAGUAUUCUGUCAAAGAUUAGGGCUUAACCCUAGAUAGGCAGAAUAAACUUUUAAGCUAGAGUUUGGUAGAGGCAGAGGGAAUUCCCGGUGGAGCAGUGAAAUGCGUAGAUAUCGGGAGGAACACCAAAGGCGAAGGCACUCUGCUGGGCCAAUACUAACACUGAGAGACGAAAGCGAGGGGAGCAAAUGGGAUUAGAAACCCUGGUAGUCC
rnacentral:rRNA from 1 species